rnacentral:tRNA from 1 species
AUUUAAAUAGCUUAAUUUAGAGUUUAAUAUUGAAGAUAUUAAGGUGAUUUUUUAAAUCUUUAAAUA